rnacentral:rRNA from 1 species
GAUGAACGCUAGCUACAGGCUUAACACAUGCAAGUCGAGGGGCAGCAUGUUGGUUGCUUGCAACCAAUGAUGGCGACCGGCGCACGGGUGCGUAACGCGUAUCGAACCUGCCCUAUACUCAGGGAUAGCCUUGCGAAAGUAAGAUUGAUACCUGAUGUUGUUAUUUAUUCGCAUGUUUGAAUAACGAAAGAUUUAUUGGUAUAGGAUGGCGAUGCGUGGCAUUAGGUAGUAGGCGGGGUAACGGCCCACCUAGCCGACGAUGCCUAGGGGUUCUGAGAGGAAGGUCCCCCACACUGGAACUGAGACACGGUCCAGACUCCUACGGGAGGCAGCAGUGAGGAAUAUUGGUCAAUGGCCGAAAGGCUGACGCAGCGACGCCGCGUGAAGGAUGAAGUCCGUUAGGAUGUAAACUUCUUUUGCAGGGGAUGAAUGUGGUGCUAUACGCGCCAUUGACCGUACCUUGCGAAUAAGGAUCGGCUAACUACGUGCCAGCCGCCGCAGUAACAC